UGGGGAAUUUUCCGCAAUGGGCGAAAGCCUGACGGAGCAAUACCGCGUGAGGGAGGAAGGCUUUUGGGUUGUAAACCUCUUUUUUCAAGGAAGAAGAAAGUGACGGUACUUGAAGAAUCAGCAUCGGCUAACUCCGUGCCAGCAGCCGCGGUAAUACGGAGGAUGCAAGCGUUAUCCGGGAUCAUUGGGCGUAAAGCGUCCGCAGGUGGCUUAUCAAGUCUGCUGUCAAAGACUAGAGCUCAACUCUGGGCAGGCGGUGGAAACUGGUAGGCUAGAGUACGGUAGGGGUUGAGGGAAUUCCCAGUGUAGCGGUGAAAUGCGUAGAUAUUGGGAAGAACACCAGUGGCGAAGGCGCUCAACUGGGCCGUAACUGACACUCAGGGACGAAAGCUAGGGUAGCGAAAGGGAUUAGAUACCCCUGU
rnacentral:rRNA from 1 species